AUAAGGAAUCGAGCCUGCCCAGUGAGAUAUUAAAUGGCCGCAGUAUUUUGACUGUGCGAAGGUAGCAUAAUCAUUUGCCUUAUAAUUGAAGGCUGGAAUGAAUGGUGUGACAAGAGUGAGACUGUCUCUUAUGUAGUUUAGUAGAAUUUUAUUUUAAAGUGAAGAUGCUUUAGUUUAAUUGUUAGACAAGAAGACCCUAUCGAGCUUUAAUUUAGUAAUUAAGAUUUAAUUAGUUUAUGUGUUUUUGUUGGGGCGACUGAGGAACAAUUGAAGCUUCCUUGUUUUUUGAAAAUUUAUUUAUGGUUGAUCCAUUGUUUGUGAUUAGUAGAAUUAGUUACCGUAGGGAUAACAGCAUAAUUUUGUUUGAGAGUUCUUAUUGAAAAUAAAGUUUGUGACCUCGAUGUUGGAUUAAAAUUUCCUAAAGGUGUAGCCGUUUUUAAGGGUAGGUCUGUUCGACCUUUAAAAUUUUA
rnacentral:rRNA from 1 species